GGAUUUAUGGACGGGCGGGGUACCGCUUUAGGGGGCCCAAGUCCACCGCAGGGGUGUAGAAGUACCCUGGGUUUGAGUCACGUACAGCGUCGGCAUCACUCCUUCGGUUGGCAGCACCUUUGGUGUGAAAUUUUCGGGUUGCGGAGGCAGGUCGGCCUUUUUGUAGCAAAACGUCACCGUGUCUAAAGGUGCGCGCUAGCAACACCAUUCUCCUGAAUUAUUACAACUACACGGUUCGUUUUGUCUUCUUUUCAGCGUAUCCCCCCAUAUUUGCUUCUUCAUCGCAAUGCGCCUUCUACACCCUCACGAAUAAGGUCCUCCCGAUCAUCUUCUCUGGCAGCAGAUUCUCAAAUCCGAACGCCCUGUCCCGCAAGCAAUGCAGGUUUGGAGCCAAACCUACCGAGAGUGGGCACCAGAAAAGAAAAGCAAGAAAGGGAAGAAAGAGUUACAGCAAGCCACAAUAGAGUUCCUCUGGAGAGGCCUGCCUCAGAUGAAUGAGGCAGAGGGCAACCCACCCAAUACCACCACCUCAUCUCACUGAAGAACGAAGAAGGCAAGACUGCGAGGAGUACAUGUAAAGUACCAUGGUCUAAGAGAGAGAGGCGAAAUGAAUGAGUAGUGCCGAGGGCAAGUGGGUCACGAGAGGAAUCACACUAAUACAUGAUCACGUACAAACGUGUAAUAGAGUUAAGAAUGUGCCGUAACCUCACUCCACAUCUAGCUUGAAGUGUCGCGGAUGGUGCCAUCCAAUUGGUACCUUUUGGGUGGCUCAAACUAUCGAUAGGUUUUCAAGGAGGAUGUUCAUGUGUGUUUGCGAAUAGAGGAUCACUGGUUCGAGCCCAGUGUGGGACAGGGACAGUGGAGGGAGAUAUAUACUGUUUUUGUAUUACCACUACACACCUGAUUCAAAUCAUUAACACUUGAUGAUAAGUUGAUCAUUUGAAUAUGUUGUGGAGGCAAAAACAACAAUGUGCACCCCUUUGGGUCCCCAGGACCAGCCUAAGAAGUGCUGUUCUAUCUAGACUAAUCACAUUCCCCACCUCACCUAUCCCUGGAGACCGUAUGUAGACAUGAUACAACUCUGUGAACACAUUGACCCUACUAUAAUGAAUGUUUGUUACGUGUGCCUAUUUGCUUUUUUUGCAGACGACAAGCAUGUAGGUUAGAUAUGAAAGCAUUGCUUGGUUUUUAAAAAAAGUGUUGCUACCGUUUGCAAACAAAGUAACUGUGACACUUGUGUUUUUAAGGUGAUUCCCUAGAGGACUCUAGUCCUCGGAAUGCAAUUAGUUUAAUCAGGUGUGUUAGCUGUGGAGGACUGGAGUACAACGAUGAGGAUGAUCAGAUCGAGAUGGAAUCAACAGAUUCAAUGCAAGAAGCAGCUUGAUCUGAUACAUGGCUCUACUGAUUCUAAUAACUAGCUGGUUGAUAAGCUACAGGAGGGUAACUUUCCAGGAGAUCUGAACCUCCACCUAGUCCCCCCACCCUUUUCUCUUGUAACCUCUCUCCCUCUACUGUAGCCGUGUUUGGUGAUUGGACUGAGAGAGAUGUAAACACAGACAGCUUGCAGCGACCACAUUACAUCAUAAUUUAAAAUAAAGUGAAUCAUCUUUGUUUCAUAUUGUUGUUUGUUUGUGCUAAGGUUAAUUUGAAAAGUACUGAUGAAUGUAUUACAAGUUGACUUGAGUGACAUAUGUUUUUUAUGUUUUGGUAUUGUAUUACUUUCUGUAACUGGUGUCAUCACCUGUUGCUUGCAUUUCAAUAGCUAAGUUGUUUUUGAAUUACACACAGGGGCAGCUCUAGCUUUUUGGAGGCCCUUUUUGGAGGCCCCAAUUUUUGUAACAAUGCAGAGGGCUCCGCUUAGCUCCACAUUGACAUGAUUGGUUGACGGUAGGUAGGGGCAGUACAUCCUGUAUAAACAAACUCACUCCCUUGACAAUUUGAAUUGUUGUUGAAUUUGCAGUGCACUUUGACGAAAGGCUAUCAGAACAAGUUCAUAAAAAACAUAUUUUCAUGUAGGGAUUUCAAAGACACGAAAAUGAGUUUGAACUCCUGGAAAGAGAUUGGGUAGGUAAUGGGGAUAAAUGCAGUAAAGAGGUCAAUGGAAUGCAGACCGUGGGGGGAUAGGACACUGGAUUGGCGCACAUUCAACAAAUCUGAUCUAACAAAGUGGAUAUUUGUCAAUUCCGUCAUGACUGAUGUAUUGUAACAGGCCCAAAAUGUGGUUAAUUUUAUAUAUUUGGCUGUUUUUGCUGCCUAACAUUAAGUUGUUAUCCCUUUUCAGGUUUAGGAAAAGUGACUGACAAAUGCUGACUCCCAUUCGUAUAAGCUGGUAGUGUAGCUAGCAUACAGAAAUCGGUGGUGGUAGUCAAAGUAGUUUUUUACUAUAAUGCAGUUGAUUGAUGAAGAUGACAUGAACAUGGUUUGUUGAGAUCGGAGUGGAAGAAUUUGACUGACCUGCACAGAGCCCUGACCUCAACC